AGUGAACGCUGGCGGUAGGCCUAACACAUGCAAGCCGAACGGCAGCACAGUAAGAGCUUGCUCUUACGGGUGGCGAGUGGCGGACGGGUGAGGAAUACAUCGGAAUCUACUUUUUCGUGGGGGAUAACGUAGGGAAACUUACGCUAAUACCGCAUACGACCUACGGGUGAAAGCAGGGGAUCUUCGGACCUUGCGCGAUUGAAUGAGCCGAUGUCGGAUUAGCUAGUUGGCGGGGUAAAGGCCCACCAAGGCGACGAUCCGUAUCUGGUCUGAGAGGAUGAUCAGCCAGACUGGAACUGAGACACGGUCCAGACUCCUACGGGAGGAAGCAGUGGGGAAUAUUGGACAAUGGGCGCAAGCCUGAUCCAGCCAUACCGCGUGGGUGAAGAAGGCCUUCGGGUUGUAAAGCCCUUUUGUUGGGAAAGAAAAGCAGCAGGUUAAUACCCCGCUGUUCUGACGGUACCCAAAGAAUAAGCACCGGCUAACUUCGUG
rnacentral:rRNA from 1 species